rnacentral:rRNA from 1 species
AGAGCGAACGCUGGCGGCAGGCCUAACACAUGCAAGUCGAACGGAUCCUUCGGGAUUAGUGGCGGACGGGUGAGUAACACGUGGGAACGUGCCUUUUGGUUCGGAAUAACUCAGGGAAACCUGAGCUAAUACCGAAUGUGCCCUUCGGGGGAAAGAUUUAUCGCCAUUAGAGCGGCCCGCGUCUGAUUAGCUAGUUGGUAGGGUAAAGGCCUACCAAGGCUACGAUCAGUAGCUGGUCUGAGAGGAUGAUCAGCCACACUGGGACUGAGACACGGCCCAGACUCCUACGGGAGGCAGCAGUGGGGAAUCUUGCGCAAAUGGGCGAAAGCCUGACGCAGCCAUGCCGCGUGAAUGAUGAAGGUCUUAGGAUUGUAAAAAUUCUUUCACCGGGACGAUAAUGACGGUACCCGGAGAAGAAAGCCCCGGCUAAACUUCGUACCAGCAAGCCGC